rnacentral:lncRNA from 1 species
AAAUGAAUAUCACAAUUUGCACGCCCAAUAAAAAAAAUUAUAAAGUUGGCAUUGUUUGCACAUUCCCCAGAUAAAAAUGAAAUUAAGGAUUUCAGUUUAGGCUGAGGCAGGAGGAAGAAUUUCACCACGGUUGACAAGCAAAGCCUCCAAGACAGCAACAGUGGUCCAUUUGCGGUUCUCUGCUUCUUGGAAAACUAAACUGUUCUCUCCAUAAAAUACCUCGUCAGACACUUCCUCGGGAUGACGGGGUAAACAAUGCAUGAAUUUGCAGCUAGGUUUGGCAAGCUUCAUGAUCUCUCCGGUGACUUGGAAUCCUGUAAAUUGUUUAAGACGUUGUUCCUUCUCAGCUUCUUGACCCAUAGAAAUCCAAGUGUCGGUAACGACGAUAUCAGCAUUUUUAACAGCAACCUUGGGGUCGUUAACAAUUUCAAAAGUAGAACCGUUUUCGUUCGCAGCUUCGUUAACGAUUGAUAAAAUAUCGUCGCGAACGUUGACGUCCUUGGGCUUAGCAACGCUAGUAUGAAUACCAACCUUGGCAUUUGCAAUCAUCAAAUCAUGUAAAACGUUAUUGGCAUCACCUACCCAUGCAACUUUUAAACCGUCAAAGCUUUUGAAAGUUUCCUUAAUAGUGAGUAAAUCUGCUAACGCCUGGAGAGGAUGAAACGUGUCACAAAGACCAUUAAUAACAGGACAAGAGGCAUGUUUAGCGAGCGUAGCAACAUCUGAAUAUUUGUUUACGCGAGCAACAAUACCAGAAACCAUACUUGAUAUAACUUUUGAAGUAUCGUAUAAAGACUCAUUCACUCCUAAUUGGAUAUCAUCUUUACCUAAAAACAUGGCAUUGCCGCCAAGGCAACUGACAGCACUUUCGACUGAUACACGAGUACGAGUGCUACGCUUACUGAAGAUCAUGGCGACAUUCUGAGACGACAAACCACUCAUUUGAACAGAACGGCGAUUCUGAAAAUUCUGCUUAUAAGCUUGUUUAAUUUCAGAAGACCGAUCGAUCAACUUUACAAUCUCUCCGCGACUAAGAUCACGAAUGGAUAGUAAAUGACGAGGAAAUUUUUUGAAAGACAUUUUCAAUUGCAAACUGAAUAAUUCUUCUCGACUAAAUAUAUCAAAAAUACGGUUUUUGUAGUCGACUACAAGGAACCCACAAGUUACUGGUAAUUUCUUAGAUAUUCAGGGUGAGAUUGCAUAUAGCCGAUAUCUAGUUCUCUCUCAGACUGCGAGAUUGGCGCCGUAAUAUAUCGUAUGCGGAUUUUCGACGAGAUGGAAAAUUUUUACAUUAUCGUACACUAGAGUUCAGUUGCAAACAAGCUAGUACGUUGAUGAAAUAUGAUAAAACAAGUCAAAAAUUAAAAACUACUCAUAAACAUUCUAUUUCCUUUCUUUUUCUUAUGUUAUUCAUGGUAAUAUUGAUACAGAACGUCAGAAUACUUAUCAGCAAUAGCUUUUAAAUACCAAAAUCGUUAAUUGAUUAGCAGUAAAAGAAUAUUCAUGGGUUUAGCAUUUAAUUAUAGAACUAAUGAAAAGGGAUGAAUUUUUUUCGACCUUGUAAUAUUUUUUUUAUUUACCACCCAUUCUUUAAAGAACCAAUACAUUGUAAAUAAAAUGUAUCUAAAAAACGUGUAGUUAUUUUUUUUGUUUAUUCAAUUAUCUCUUGACACUAUAUUCAAGCGAGCUGAAAUAAAACCAAUUGUGUUACUAUAUUGAUAACUCAGCAUGCUUGUGAAAUCAACAACUACCAUGAAAUGAACAAUGAGUUCACAGAUUCGCUAUAUUACAAGCUUACACUUACAGUAUUGCAUAAAGCGAAACAAGUUUUAACGAAAGAGAAGGGCUUCUUGCCAAAUUUUUUUUUUUUUUUUUUUUUUUUUUUUUUUUAACGAGAUUAUCUUAGAUAAUAAAUUUUAUGAUAAGUGCUUUUGUCUCAUCAGGGUCAUUGGGACUAUUCAACGCGAAAUCAAAUAGAAAACAAAAUAUUGUUUCAAAAGAAUGCUUUCAUGUAUAAAUCAAGAUAUUGAACUGGCUUGCAUAGAAAUAAUGAAUAUUGUACUGUGUCAGUUAGGACUAGUAUUAAAUAAUGUAUAUACAAAUAGAUUCAUUGUCGGCAAAUGAGUUGCUUUUACAGUGUCAUUUAUAUA